CCUGCCCUAAGCGCUUGGCGAGGACAGUUGAGCACCAGGGACCAUCCCCACAGGCCAGAAGCGGGGAGCCAGGCAGCCAGACGUGUGCCAGGCACUGUCUUAAGCGCUGGGGAUUCAUUCAUUCAUUCAAUAUAGGGACAGGCCCCGUCCCUGCUCCGCGCGGGUGGUAUUGGUUCAGCGCUUCCCGGGUGCCAAGCACUGUUCCAAGCAAUGGGGGACAUAGGUCAUCAGGUUGUCCCACCUGGGGCUCGCAGUUGAGGUCACUGAGGUGCAGAGAAGUGAAGGGACCUGCCCAAAAUCACCCAGCUGAUAAGUGGCAGAAGGGGGAUCAGAACCCAUGACCUUCUGACUCCCAGGCCCGUGCGCCAUCCACUAUGCCAUGCCUCUCCCUUUCCAAUGGGUGAGCCCCAGCACCUUUAAAUAGUGAUAAUAAGGAUGGCAUUUGUUAAGCGCUUACUAUGUGCAAAACACUGUUCUAGGCACUGGAGAGGAUACAAGGUCAUCAGGUUGUCCCACGUGGGACUCCCAGUCUUCAACCCCAUUUUAUAGAUGGGGGAACUGAGGCACAGUGAAGUGACUUGUCCCAAGUCACACCGCUGACAAACAGCUGAGUGGGGAUUUAAACCCAUGACCUCUGAUCCCAAACUCGUGCUUUUUCCAAUGAGCCACGUUGUUUCUCCGUGUUUGGGGUUUUUUUUAAAAUAGCCUCCAGGUGAUGAUGAUUACCUCUCCCACUAACCCUAGAGAAGCUGGGGGAGCUUUGCUUAACUUCUGCCUAAUUCUGCUUAAGAUAGGCACAAUUACCAGGCGAAAAGGGAGAGAAAUUUACCUCCGAGCGCUGGAGAGAUCCCUUGCCUUCUCCUAGGCCGGGAAAACCCGAGUUUGGCGUUAAGGAAAUGUGUUACUUGAAGGACCAGAUCGGCCACACGAAAAAAGACAAUUGGUCCCCUGGCCCCAAAGGGUCUCAUUCGUCUCUGUUGCAGCUGAAAACGGAAACAGAUGCAGUCAUUCGGAAUUCACACGCAAACGUUUCUCCAGGCGAGCUGUUGUGGUGGUACAAUCACUCACCCCAACUGAAGAGUUUGGAUCUUUAUGAAGUAUCACGGGAAUUACAUGUGAAAAGCCAUUGACCUGUGAGAACAGUACCUGAAGACAAGUGCCUCAGGUCCUUUCAGGAUAAAGCCCUGAAGAAACAGAUUCAACAGAGGAGGAAGAGGCCUGAUCCCACUCGGACUACUGGUGUCUCGGCUUGGAAUAGUACGCUCCAUCCCCUCUGGAAUUCUUUCCAAACUCUUUGGGGGAAUGAGAAAUGGUCAUCUUGUGGCAUUGUGAGAUUCAUGAAGAUGAGCGCACAGAAGCCACAAGUCUUAACUGCGGGUGGCGGUGAGCCUCAUCACCUCCUCGUAGCCGCCUAAAAUUGCAAAGGAGGAUCAGGACGCAAGGUACGGCUAUUUGCCUUGUGGCAUGGGGAGUUUCAUCCAGCUGCCCGAAAUUCCCCCUGUGGUUUCAAUCGUUCUGUGUUUGUUAUUGCUCCUGCACUCUCCUGACCUUCCUAAUUUCUACCCCAGGACUGCAUUUCAUUGAUGGGUCAAAGGGUCACGUGAGCAUAGAGUGAACCAAAGAGGAGCCAAAUAAAAAUUCUCGUUUAUGUCAUCACCUUCGAAUAUCCGGGUGGGGGAACAGGCCCUAGACUAAGUGCUGGGGGAUGGGGGAGUCGAACAGAGAGAAAAUAGCUCUCAGAGAGCUCACAUCCCAAGAGAGAGAGAGUCAGUCAGUCUGCCAGCCAUAUUUUUUGAGCACUUACUGUGUGCAGAAUGCUGUACUAAGCACUCGGGAGAGUUCACUUUAACAAUCAAGAGACAUAUUCCCUGCCCACAACAAACUUACGAACCCUCAGGAUGUGAGGGUUGAGGGUUGAAAAAUCGAGGAUGAUGAUGAUGAUGACGAUAGUAUUUGUUAAGCACUUACUAUGUGCAGAACACUAUUCUAAGUGCUGGGGUAGAUACAGGGUAAUCAGGUUGUCCCACGUGAGGCUCACAGUUAAUCCCCAUUUUACAGAUGAGGGAACUGAGGCACAGAGAAGUGAAGUGACUUGCCCACAGUCACACAGCUGACAAAUAGCAGAGCUGGGAUUCGAACCCAUGAACUCUGACUCCCAAGCCCGGGCUCUUUCCACUGAGCCACGCUGAUAAUGCAAGAUCGCAGCCUGCAGAAACAGGGCAGCUGGUGAAAUUGCCAAGUGUGAUGGGAAAGUCAAAUGGCAGAGAGGAUUUGUGAGGGAAGAUGAGUUCACAUUUCGACAUAUUGAGCUUUUAAGGUGUCAGUGGUAUGUCUUGUGGAGAGGUCUUGCAGCAAGAGAUAUUAAUAGUAAUAAUAAUGGUGUUUGUUAAGUGCUUACAAUGUGCCAGGCACCAUACUAAGCGCUGGGGUGGAUAGAGAAGCAGCGUGGCUCAGUGGAACGAGCAC
rnacentral:lncRNA from 1 species